rnacentral:rRNA from 1 species
AGCAUGAGAAACGGCUACCACAUCCAAGGAAGGCAGCAGGCGCGCAAAUUACCCAUUCCUAACACAGGGAGGUAGUGACGAAAAAUAACAAUACGAGUCUCAUAUGAGGCCUCGUAAUUGGAAUGAGUCGAAUUUAAAUCCUUUAAUGAGGAUCAAUUGGAGGGCAAGUCUGGUGCCAGCAGCCGCGGUAAUUCCAGCUCCAAUAGCGUAUAUUAAAGUUGUUGCAGUUAAAAAGCUCGUAGUUGAAUCUCUGGUCUAGGACGAUGGCUCACUUAAACGUGUAGCUAUCGUACCUGACUAAUCUGCCGGUCCAAGGCGGGUGUGCUUAAACGUAUGCACGCUGCGGUCGGAAUGUUUACUUUGAAAAAAUUAGAGUGCUUAAAGCAGGCAUGCAUAGCCUGAAUAGUAGUGCAUGGAAUAAUGGAAUAGGACCUCUGUUCUAUUUUGUUGGUUUUAGGAAUACGAGGUAAUGAUUAAGAGAGACAGACGGGGGCAUUCGUAUUACAGUGUUAGAGGUGAAAUUCUUGGAUCACUGUAGG